rnacentral:rRNA from 1 species
GACGAACGCUGGCGGCGUGCUUAACACAUGCAAGUCGAACGGAAAGGCCCUGCUUUUGUGGGGUGCUCGAGUGGCGAACGGGUGAGUAACACGUGAGUAACCUGCCCUUGACUUUGGGAUAACUUCAGGAAACUGGGGCUAAUACCGGAUAGGAGCUCCUGCUGCAUGGUGGGGGUUGGAAAGUUUCGGCGGUUGGGGAUGGACUCGCGGCUUAUCAGCUUGUUGGUGGGGUAGUGGCUUACCAAGGCUUUGACGGGUAGCCGGCCUGAGAGGGUGACCGGCCACAUUGGGACUGAGAUACGGCCCAGACUCCUACGGGAGGCAGCAGUGGGGAAUAUUGCACAAUGGGCGGAAGCCUGAUGCAGCAACGCCGCGUGCGGGAUGACGGCCUUCGGGUUGUAAACCGCUUUCGCCUGUGACGAAGCGUGAGUGACGGUAAUGGGUAAAGAAGCACCGGCUAACUACGUGCCAGCAGCCGCGGUGAUACGUAGGGUGCGAGCGUUGUCCGGAUUUAUUGGGCGUAAAGGGCUCGUAGGUGGUUGAUCGCGUCGGAAGUGUAAUCUUGGGGCUUAACCCUGAGCGUGCUUUCGAUACGGGUUGACUUGAGGAAGGUAGGGGAGAAUGGAAUUCCUGGUGGAGCGGUGGAAUGCGCAGAUAUCAGGAGGAACACCAGUGGCGAAGGCGGUUCUCUGGGCCUUUCCUGACGCUGAGGAGCGAAAGCGUGGGGAGCGAACAGGCUUAGAUACCCUGGUAGUCCACGCUGUAAACGGUGGGUACUAGGUGUGGGGUCCAUUCCACGGGUUCCGUGCCGUAGUUAACGCUUUAAGUACCCCGCCUGGGGAGUACGGCCGCAAGGCUAAAACUCAAAGGAAUUGACGGGGCCCCGCACAAGCGGCGGAGCAUGCGGAUUAAUUCGAUGCAACGCGUAGAACCUUACCUGGGUUUGACAUGGAUCGGGAGUGCUCAGAGAUGGGUGUGCCUCUUUUGGGGUCGGUUCACAGGUGGUGCAUGGCUGUCGUCAGCUCGUGUCGUGAGAUGUUGGGUUAAGUCCCGCAACGAGCGCAACCCUUGUUCACUGUUGCCAGCACGUUAUGGUGGGGACUCAGUGGAGACCGCCGGGGUCAACUCGGAGGAAGGUGGGGAUGACGUCAAGUCAUCAUGCCCCUUAUGUCCAGGGCUUCACGCAUGCUACAAUGGCUGGUACAGAGAGUGGCGAGCCUGUGAGGGUGAGCGAAUCUCGGAAAGCCGGUCUCAAUUCGGAUUGGGGUCUGCAACUCGACCUCAUGAAGUCGGAGUCGCUAGUAAUCGCAGAUCAGCAACGCUGCGGUGAAUACGUUCCCGGGGCU